GUGCCAGCCGCCGCGGUAAUACGUAGGGCGCAAGCGUUGUCCGGAAUUAUUGGGCGUAAAGAGCUCGUAGGUGGUUCGUCGCGUCUGCUGUGAAAGUCCGAGGCUUAACCUCGGAUCUGCAGUGGGUACGGGCGGACUAGAGUGCGGUAGAGGAGAUCGGAAUUCCUGGUGUAGCGGUGGAAUGCGCAGAUAUCAGGAGGAACACCGGUGGCGAAGGCGGAUCUCUGGGCCGUAACUGACGCUGAGGAGCGAAAGCAUGGGGAGCGAACAGGCUUAGAUACCCUGGUAGUCC
rnacentral:rRNA from 1 species